rnacentral:rRNA from 1 species
UUGAAAGGGAAACGAUUGAAGUCAGUCGUACCGACGAGAAAUCAGCUUAUCGUGUGUUUACUUGUGGGCGUGCGUGAGUUUCGGCCUCGCUGUUUGCAUGUUUGUGCGCUUUGGGUGUACUUUUUCGUAUGGUUGGCCAACAUCAGUUUCGAUCACUAUAAAAUGACUGGCGGAAUGUAGCUUCGAUUUCGGUUGAAGUGUUAUAGCCUCUGGUAGAUGUGGUAAUUGGGACUGAGGAUUGCAACGAAUAUCCUUUGGGCUAUCCGUCUGGCCUCUGAAAGUUGCUUGGGUGCUGAAAGCUUGCUUAUGGUUAUCUAAGUUAACGGUCAAUAGGUUAGAACGCGAUUACAUUCGUUAAGGAUGUUGACGUA